rnacentral:rRNA from 1 species
GAUGAACGCUGGCGGCGUGCCUAAUACAUGCAAGUCGAGCGAAUGGAUUAAGAGCUUGCUCUUAUGAAGUUAGCGGCGGACGGGUGAGUAACACGUGGGUAACCUGCCCAUAAGACUGGGAUAACUCCGGGAAACCGGGGCUAAUACCGGAUAACAUUUUGAACCGCAUGGUUCGAAAUUGAAAGGCGGCUUCGGCUGUCACUUAUGGAUGGACCCGCGUCGCAUUAGCUAGUUGGUGAGGUAACGGCUCACCAAGGCAACGAUGCGUAGCCCACCUGAGAGGGUGAUCGGCCACACUGGGACUGAGACACGGCCCAGACUCCUACGGGAGGCAGCAGUAGGGAAUCUUCCGCAAUGGACGAAAGUCUGACGGAGCAACGCCGCGUGAGUGAUGAAGGCUUUCGGGUCGUAAAACUCUGUUGUUGGGGAAGAACAAGUGCUAGUUGAAUAAGCUGGCACCUUGACGGUACCUAACCAGAAAGCCACGGCUAACUACGUGCCAGCCGCCGCAGUAG